ACACGGUCCUCGAGGAGAUCUUACCUGGCUUUGAAUACUGCUGGAGAAAGUUCUUCUGAUAUGAGCAGACCGGUAUGCUGUGAACCGACUGACUUCUAAACGCCGUCAUGAAAACAACAACUUUUACCAGAACAUUUAUCGGUCUGCAGUUGCAUCAGCAUUUAAAGAGGGGCACUGUUUUUACAGCAGUCCUUCACCACCAUCUGCUGGAAAUACAGA